rnacentral:lncRNA from 1 species
UGAAAUCACAAUGAGCUGGUAGUGAAACACCCCUGCCACCUAGUGGUUGCUUAUGCUGAAGCAUGUGGUUCUUUCAAAGCACAGAAAACAUAAACGGAAUUGCGUUAGUAUAGGUGACAAAUCCAGCCAAUGUCCUGAACCUGGAAAAUUUUCAUUCCCUUCUCCCUUUGUGUAAUCAGAAGAACUAAAAGAGCAUUAGCAAGGAAAAACGUUGCAGAUAAACAUAGGCAGCCACCAGGUCUUUAGCAUGAAGUGCCAGCUGCGAAAGGAAGCAGGAAGUUCAAGAACUGAGCAAAGGAGUGUCAACAGUGGAACAGGAUCCCUCAGUAGUGGAGCUCAUGCAGCAGCACUGUGGGGCCGGGGCAAAGGAGGAUCAGAAGCAAGGUCAGCAGGGACGAUGAUAAAGUCACAAAGGCUCAGGAUUGUUGAGCUGUAACAGCCGUGGAGACCAUUGUGUUGGGACAACUAUACUGCUUGACUUAGGGUAAAGGAAUUAGCAUACUUAGAUCAAACAUACAUUAUCCUUAGGCGUUGCAGGGGAUUUGUUCCAGGAUACCCACGGAUACCAAAAUGCAAAGAUGCUCAAGUCUCUUACACAGGUUGAACAUGGUGGCAUACACCUGUAAUCUCAUCAACUCAGGAGGCUGAGGUAGGAGGAUUACAAGUUCCAAGCUAACCUCAGUGAGGACCUAAGCAACUGAGUAAGACCCUGUCUCAAAAUGAAAAAUAAAAGGCCUGGGAUAUAGCUCAGCGGUAAAGUAUCCUGGAGUCAAUUCUUAGUACAAACAAGCAAAUAAAACCAUAAUAUUCACAUAUGACCUACAUACAUCUUGCUGUAUACUUUAGUUCAUCUCUAGAUUAUUUAGUGCAAUGGAAAUGCUGUGUAAGUAGUUGUUGUGGAAUUGUUUAGGGAUAGUGACAAGAACAAAAAGU